UACGUAGGGUGCGAGCGUUGUCCGGAAUUAUUGGGCGUAAAGAGCUUGUAGGUGGCUCGUCGCGUCGGGAGUGAAAACCCGCGGCUUAACCGCGGGCCUGCUUUCGAUACGGGCGGGCUAGAGUUCGGCAGGGGAGACUGGAAUUCCUGGUGUAGCGGUGGAAUGCGCAGAUAUCUGGAGGAACACCGGUGGCGAAGGCGGCAUCCUGGACCGAUACUGACGCUGAGUGAGCGAAAGCCAGGGGAGCAAACGGG
rnacentral:rRNA from 1 species